rnacentral:pre_miRNA from 1 species
CAGUACACUCAUCCAUAAAGUAGGAAACACUACAGCGUUCAGACCUGUCUAGUAGUGCUUUCUACUUUAUGGGUAACUGCACUG